AUGUUGGUGCAGUUGUUGUUGAUAGAGUGGUGGAUGUUGGUGCAGGUGUUGCUGAGGUUGGUGCAGUUGUUGAUAUUGUGGUAGAUGUUGGUGCAGUUGAUGUUGGGGUU